CCAGGAACUUACCACAAAGCUUGGCACGCAACAUGUUAAAGUUGACACAUCAAUUUCAGUUUUAUUGGCUAUUCAAAAUGCCUUCUUUUUGCUCAGGUUCAUAGACUACUCAACACCAGGCUACAAUCAUCAAAUCUACACUUUCAAGUUUCUCCUUAGUACAAAAUUAAAGCUACCAAUUUCAGAAUUUGGAACUCCAAGAAUUUUCAGCUUAAGUCAUGAAGACUUCGGCUGUGCAUUGGUUAGAAAUUGAGUUUCAAUUAUGUUGAUUGACAACUACAGUUUCUUUCUGCAGAGUUCCUGCUCAUUGGAGUCUGAAUUACAGUCCAAGUUCAGUUUUUCAAUGCAGAUUUCAGGAUUUCAAACUGGCAGCGAUAUAUAAUUCCAAGCUCCUGGCUGCUGUAAAAGUCCACUGAUGCAAACUACAACAACUUCAAUAAUAAGAAGCCCUGCUCAUUCUGAAUUUCUGCAAUUCUGCAAUUCUGAAUUUCUGCACUUUUGUUUCAGAAUAGAUUUCAGAAAUCUGAAAUUUCAGGUUAUGCAUUGCUAAGUUGAUAUUCAAACAGCCACAACAUGAAUUCCCAAAUUUCAGACUUUACUUAUGUGCCAGAACUUGUUAUCUCAGCAAGAACAAUUUUGAAUUCUGCACUUCUAGUUCAGAUUUCUGAUUUCAAUUUCAA